rnacentral:rRNA from 1 species
AAAGGGUAGCAAUACCUGAGUAAAGUGGCGCACGGGUGAGUAACACGUGACUAACCCUACCCUGGAGUGGGGGAUAACUGAGGGAAACCUUAGCUAAUACCGCAUAAUACCUACGGGUCAAAGGAGCAAUUCGCUUCAGGAGGGGGUCGCGGCCGAUUAGUUAGUUGGCGGGGUAAUGGCCCACCAAGACAGUGAUCGGUAUCCGGCCUGAGAGGGCGCACGGACACACUGGAACUGAAACACGGUCCAGACUCCUACGGGAGGCAGCAGUGGGGAAUUUUGCGCAAUGGGGGAAACCCUGACGCAGCAACGCCGCGUGGAGGAUGAAGUCCUUCGGGACGUAAACUCCUUUCGAUCGGGACGAUUAUGACGGUACCGGAAGAAGAAGCCCCGGCUAACUUCGUGCCAGCAGCCGCGGUAAUACGAGGGGGGCGAGCGUUGUUCGGAAUUAUUGGGCGUAAAGGGUGCGUAGGCGGUUUUGUAAGUCUUAUGUGAAAUCUAUGGGCUCAACUCAUAGACUGCAUGAGAAACUGCAGGGCUUGAGUAUGGGAGAGGUGAGUGGAAUUCCUGGUGUAGCGGUGAAAUGCGUAGAUAUCAGGAGGAACACCUGUGGCGAAAGCGGCUCACUGGACCAUAACUGACGCUGAUGCACGAAAGCUAGGGGAGCAAACAGGAUUAGAUACCCUGGUAGUCCUAGCCCUAAACGAUGACUGCUUGGUGUGACGGGUACCCAAUCCCGCCGUGCCGUAGCUAACGCGUUAAGCAGUCCGCCUGGGGAGUACGGUCGCAAGGCUGAAACUCAAAGGAAUUGAC